GGGACCCGUUUUGUCACUUCCGCAGGAAGUGACAUACCCGGAAGUGAGGGAGGCGGAGCCAGGUAUGCUGGGACUGCGGUGAUGUGCAGUGGGAAGUCUCCUUGGGUUAAAUUGUUUGCUCUCAUAUAUGAAGAUCUAUAUUCAUCAUGAGGAUUUUUCCCGCUCCCACAAAAUGGGAGUCCUAUGAUAGGACAAUUAGCAGACUCGAUGAUGCUGAGAUCAGGACUCUGUGGGAGCCAUAGCACCACUUCCAGGACACUUUUUUCUUCUUUACGCUGAAGGUAGUUCUUAAUGACAUUGGCUGUAUGUUUGGGGUCGUUGUCCUGCUACAGGAUAAAUUUGGAGCCAAUCAGAUGCCACCCUGAUGGUACUGCAUGAUGGAUAAGUACUUGCCUGUAACUGCAUCUCUUAGCAGCCCUUGAGCGUCCCGGCAGCCCCCAAGACUCCCAGCAGCUUCAUUACAGGGAAGACCACUAGACAGAUCAGGGAUCUGUUUGAUUGCUCAACUACUGACUUAAAAUGGGGAGAGUACUGUGGCAGUGUGAGAAGCUGUAUGGCUAUGGCGUUGUGAAGGUGUUGCUUCAGAGCAUGGGGCUGGUGAGAGUGCCAAUACCAAUGAUGACAGCAGCUGGUGUAAUAUCUAUGAGAGGCAUGAGCAUGGACCCUCGCAUUAGCUAAACGCAAUCCUGCAUUACCAUAAGUUACAGUACAUCAACUGAUAUAAAGCCUGUAAUGUAAAUGAAGAUUAUAAGAAUAACAUCUAAGAGACCGAAAGAAAGAGGAAUUUUACUGUGCAUUGGUGUAAUAUGAAAAGGGACAUUUACAGGUUUUAGAGUGCUUGGCAGAUUGUGGAAAGAAAGCAUCAACCAUAUCAACCAUAUUAGACUUUGAAUUUGAAACCAUUUUCUAUGUUGUGAAGAACAAUAUAUUGUAACAAUGACUGACACUAUACGCUACUUAUUUUAUAUACAAUAUGUAUUACCGCAACAAAUUGCAAAUAAAACAUUCUUAUUUCUGUCAUAAUGUUAUGGAAAUCUACAAA